CCUUGUUGGAGAGUUUCAGUUUUGUCCAUUUGAAGUGAAAGUCGAUGAUGGCAACGUAACACAUCAUCCCCGAAAUGGUCCAGAAACAUUGUCUAUGCAAUACUAGUAUGGACAGUUAGGGUUUUCUGUAGAUUGGGAAUUUCUCACACCAAAUCUCUUCCCACAUUUGCAAUUUACAACCAUGAACCUCACAUCCUUUCCAGCCACGGUGCUAGUGCCACUUGAAUAAGAUAUUGCGAUAGAAACGACUGAAGAAACGAGGAUGAGAGGAAGAAGGAGAGGCGAAGAAGGGAGAAAAAAGGUGUUCAGUGUGAAGGAAUGGCUGAAGGAGGAACGAAGAGAGAGUCAGACUGCUUUAAGAGCUAUUAUGGGAAUUUUAGUCAUUUCACGUGAUUUUCUCUCUUCUGAUCGAGUCCUCUUCCAUUUGACUAAUGGUUUUUCUCAUAAAAUGGGUAACAGAAUGAUAAGUAAUUUACCCAACAAAUAUAAAGGACCGAUGCCGGGUUUGAAGUAUAGGCAAAGUUGAAGAAUCCAACGUUGUUAUCGGAGCUACUUGACCUUUUGGCGGGAAUAAAUAAGGCUCCGCUUCCCCUGAUAUCCCCAAAUUUCACAGGAAAAGGAACCCUAGCUAGCAGUCUAUAGGGAGAGAGUGUCGAAACUUUUAAAAUCGGGGAAGAGGAAUGGGAAAAGACGAAGAGGAAAUGAGGGGAGAGAUAGAGGAGAGGCUCAUAAACGAAGAAUACAAAAUAUGGAAAAAGAACACUCCGUUCCUCUACGAUCUGGUCAUUACCCAUGCCCUUGAGUGGCCCUCCCUUACCGUUGUGUGGUUACCCGACCGCGAGGAGCCUCCUGGCAAGGACUACUCCGUCCAGAAGAUGAUUCUCGGCACUCAAACCUCCGAAAACGAGCCCAACUACCUCAUGCUUGCGCAGGUCCAGCUACCACUUGAUGAUGCCGAGAACGAUGCUCGCCACUACGACGACGAUCGUUCUGAUUUUGGCGGCUUCGGAGCUGCCACCGGCAAGGUCCAAAUAAUUCAGCAAAUCAAUCACGAUGGAGAAGUUAACAGGGCUGUUAUAUGCCUCAAAACCCUUUUAUUAUUGCCACCAAGACUGUUAGUGCUGAAGUUUUUGUCUUUGACUACAGUAAGCACCCAUCCAAGCCCCCUCUUGACGGUGCUUGUACUCCUGAUUUGAGAUUGAGAGGCCACAGCACUGAAGGUUAUGGUUUAUCUUGGAGCAACUUUAAACAAGGUCACUUGCUUAGUGGUUCUGAUGAUGCUCAAAUUUGCUUGUGGGAUAUCAAUUCCACUCCUAAGAACAAGGCCCUUGAAGCUAUGCAAAUUUUUAAGGUUCAUGAAGGUGUUGUAGAAGAUGUUGCAUGGCACCUGAGGCAUGAAUACUUGUUUGGCUCUGUUGGGGAUGAUCAAUGCCUGCUUAUAUGGGAUCUCCGGACUCCAACAGUCACCAAGCCUGUCCAAUCGGUUGUUGCUCACCGGAUUGAGGUAAGCUUCUAACAAUUUUAUUAUGCUUUCAUAAACUAACACGCACACACACAGAGGGUGGACAUAUUUUAUGAAUCUUCUUGUGGAUUGUUGUGAUAAGUUGCCUGCUUUUUAUCCUUUGUUUCUUCUUCAAGCUUUGUCCUAUUAAUCUUUCAUUUUGAUCAAAUUCUGUCUCUACUUUCCUGCAUGUACUACAGAAGGUGUAGUUCAGACCAUGUGGCGAUUCCAUUUCCUUGCGCAGCAGUGCCAGGACACUCUAGGACCUUUGCACCCGUUGCAGUGAUUGUUACAUCAGUUACUCUGUUACCUUUAAUCAUAAAAAUAAAAAAGAGCCUCUUUUCCCUGCCUUUACUUUUUCAUGCCCUCUUACCCAGAAGUUUUAUUACAGUUUUCUGUCCCUGAACUGUAAUUCAUUUGAUUUUCUUGUAUAAUUGCCUACUGCUUGGUCCACUGCAUCUUAAGAAUACUAACAUUUGAUUGUCUGUUGGUUGUUGUGUUCUGUACAAAUGAUAUGCAUAAUCAUGUUUGCUCGUCUCCUUAUGCCAGAAGACUGCAUUGAUGUUGUGCAUGACACGUUAAUUAUGAACUUGUGUCUGUUGUAUUCCUAUUUUCUCUGUAACCAGUGAGCUGUUGUUACUUGGAUUGCUGAUGACUAAAUAUUGUUAUUUUAAAUGCCAUGUUCUGUGCUAUCUUCGAUAUAUCAAGAGGCCUAGAUUUUUAAGUUGUGCAAACAAUUAUGUGAAUUUUUUUUUAUUCCUGAAUUUGCCUUAGGUUAAUUGCUUAGCUUCUAAUCCUUUCAAUGAAUAGGUUGUUGCGACGGGAUCCACUGAUAACUGUGAGGCUGUUUGAUAUACGUAAAAUCAACCCAGCGCUUCACGCGUUUGACUGUCACAAGUAAGUAGUCUCUCUCUAUAGUGCAUUUCUGCAGUACUAUUGUAGACUUCUAAUGACAAUAUUGCAUGCAUGCCAAUGCACAUAAAAACAUACUGUCCAAGUUUACAUAUAAAAGACGACUCAAAAUCUGCUAUUUUAUAUUUCUUGCACUUGAUUUUUUAUGUGAUGUAUGUCAGGGAGUUAGAUGAAAUCAAAACUGCAGGAAUCAAAGCCACAAGGCUCCUGCGUCUUUCAAUAUAGGCACCAAUUCUCCUGAAAUAUGAGUAGCCAUAAGCCUAUCCAAUCCUCCAAACAACUUGCCACCAAUAAAAACACCAGGAAGCUGAACUUUUCUCAUAUUAUCAUUUCCACCUCCCACUUUGUUAACAAUCAUCUCCAAUUCUUGCAAAACACUAAUCUCAUCUUCCUCAUCAAUCUCAUAGAUCGGUGGGUUCACUCCAAGACCUAAUAGCAAUCGCUUCACUACAUGGCUCAUACAGCACCCCCGCCUAGCAAACACUAUAAUAGCAUUCUCUUGAACCAUACUGACCAUGUUUUUCGACCCUUUUAACAUUUUCUUAUAAUCAACGAGACCAAUAGUGGAAGUGUGGUUAAGGGUUAGAGGGUUGGUGGUGGUGGUGUAUAGAGGCAGCCAUGACUUGUAAGGGAUUGCCUGCUGCAUCUUUGCUUAGCUAAAGAUGGAGAAAUCGAUGGAGAAAUUAACAAGGAGAGACAGAGAGAGAUUGAAAGGUUUAAUGGGUUGUUUUGUGUGGUUUUGGAAACGAGAAGAGAAUUGAAUAUAUAAAGGGAGAAGAGAAGAGGAGAGAAGACUUUGAUAAUUUGGAGGGCGUCAACGGCAGUU
rnacentral:misc_RNA from 1 species